UAUAUAGACAUUAGAUAUAAUAUACAUUACGAAUAUAUAGACAUUAGAAUAUAAUAUACAUUAUGAAUAUAUAGACAUUAGAAUAUAAUAUACAUUAUGAAUAUAUAGACAUUAGAUAUAAUAUACAUUACGAAUAUAUAGACAUUAUAAUAUAAUAUACAUUAUGAAUAUAUAGACAUUAGAUAUAAUAUACAUUACGAAUAUAUAGACAUUAUAAUAUAAUAUACAUUAUGAAUAUAUAGACAUUAGAUAUAAUAUACAUUAUGAAUAUAUAGACAUUAGAUAUAAUAUUAUAUUUUAUACAUUAAAUCCUCUUCCUAAAUAUUUGGUAAAAUGAUGAAUUUUGUGUAUGAUUCUUGGAACCAAGGGGGGCUAAACUGACCACUUUGGCUCAACUUACCCCACUCUUCCCCUUGAUCUAGUCAGUUUGGUGUCCGUAUGGAUAGUUGACUGAACUUUGAACUCUGUCAACAUUUUGUUCAGCGAUGUGACAUACACCCGACCUGAUGUUAGCACACAGCUAAUAUUGACCCAAAUCAAUAAUUAGCAAAAUGCUAUCAUAGGAAUACAUUAUAUGAAUCUGCAACGUGUCAACGCACCCUGGUCCUCUUUAGGCUGGGUUAUAGCCUAGAAAUGUGUGUAUGUAUGUGUGUGUGUGUGUGUGUGUGUAACUGUGUGUUGUUGUAUGUUGCAGUGUGUAGUCUGUGGAUACAACAAGGGAAUGGGGUCUCCCACUCAGUUCGACAGAGAGACAGAGGCAGGAGGGGACGGUGUCCUGACAGACCAGAGCACCCACUCUGCUCUGACCACCAGUGGGAGUCCCGGUGUCCGUCGGGCUGCAGACUACAGGGUCUAAUGGAGCAGACAGAGAGACAGACGAGGGGCAGACUGAGGGACAUCUGUGAGAGGAGACAGAGGUAUACUGAUUGAUUGGAUUUGUAAGUGUUAAAAUCUCAGUGUUAAGGUAAAGAAUACGUGUCAAUAUAAAAAAAAACAUAGAUAUUGAAACAAACCUGCAAUAGAGCAUCCUGGGAAAUAUGAUAAUAAUGGUUGUGGUUUUGGUUCAACUCUUGUUAUUAACACCAAUACUGGGGGUCUUUUUAUUUUUGUUACACCUCUGAAUAUUCAUUGCUGAUUUUUAGAAGAGUUAGUUUUUUAAUAACUAUGUUUCUGCGUGCACAUUGAUUGAUUAAUUGAUCGUAUACUACACAAAGAUAAAUACAAAAUCUAAACUAAUCCCAUCAGUAAAGGGUUGGAUUUCUUGCUCCCGUUAGUUACUGAGAUGGCUGUUCCAGUUGAGAUGGAUUAGGUCGUCUUGUAAGUGAAGUCUUGCCCCCCUUACUGAGAUGGCUGUUCCAGUUGAGAUGGAUUAGGUCGUCUUGUAAGUGAAGUCUUUCCCCCCUUACUGAGAUGGCUGUUCCAGUUGAGAUGGAUUAGGUCGUCUUGUAAGUGAAGUCCUGCACCUUUGCAGUCAUUCUGAAAGCAGGUUGUGUUAAACAAAAAAUUCGAGUUGUUGGCUUUUCUCCCUAGCUGGAUUCUGAUUAGAAGUACAAAUCACUACACACAUCAUCUUAAAGUGACUGGCAGGGAUGGUGUGGCCGAAGAAUUUCAGACCACAACAUUGACGAUAACUAGGCCCUAUCUAAAGGCUUCACGAUAUAGAUUAAACAUGGUAUUCUUUUAAUUCAAACAAAGUUACUGUUUAAUAAUUGGCCAUUGAAUGUAAAAACAUUAUCUCUGUCACUAACAAACACAGUCGUGGGUAGGUACGUCUCACAUCCACCUGAAAGGCAUGCUGGGAAAUAUGCUAAUAAUAAAUAACCCCCUGGUUAACACUGAGACCGACUAGCUAAGAGCAUUAUUAAACCUUGGUAAACCUCUCGUGGACAGAUCUACGUUAACUGGUACCAUAGAAUCUGUUGGGAAGGAAUUGGAUGCAUCGGAUAACGAGUUGCACAACCAAAUUUCGAUAUUGCACCUGGUGUAUUCUUACUCUCAAUAGUAAGUUGAGAUCCCGACUGAGUUGCUUAUAUAUAUAUAUUUUAGUAACUUAUAUAUUUGAUAUAUUGUUAAUAAUAUAUUAUUGUUUAAUUGUUUUGGUCAUGCAGCCAGGGACCUUCAGCGACCGCUUAUAUCACUUAUAGCUGGAACCUCCCUAGAACCGCCCUAAAACCGGCCUAGAACCUCCCUAAAACCUCCCUAGAACCGCCCUAAAACCGCCCUAGAACCUCCCUAGAACCGCCCUAAAACCGGCCUAGAACCUCCCUAGAACCGCCCUAAAACCGGCCUAAAACCUCCCUAGAACCGCCCUAAAACCGGCCUAGAACCUCCCUAGAACCGCCCUAAAACCGGCCUAAAACCACACUAGAACCUCCCUAGAACCGCCCUAAAACCGCCCUAGAACCUCCCUAGAACCGCCCUUAAACCGGCCUAGAACUGCCCUAAAACCGGCCUAGAACCGCCCUAAAACCGGCCUAGAACCGCCCUAGAACCGGCCUAGAACCGGCCUUGACGAGCAGCAGUAAUUCCGGUGUUUUUCGUUACUGGUUAUUAGGAUGAAUCACGAUUUUGCAGAUGUUAGUAUCUUUCGGAAUUUCAGAAAGGGAGGGGACAUUUGGCCCUUACUCCUCAUUCCGGUUCCUCUCCUCAUUCUAGGAUCUCCUCAUUCCGGUUCCGCUCCUCAUUCUAGGAGCUCCUCAUUCCGGUUCCGCUCCUCAUUCUAGAAUCUCCUCAUUCUAGGAUCUCCUCAUUCCGGUUCCGCUCCUCAUUCUAGGAUCUCCUCAUUCUAGGAUCUCCUCAUUCCGGUUCCGCUCCUCAUUCUAGAAUCUCCUCAUUCUAGGAUCUCCUCAUUCCGGUUCCUCUCCUCAUUCUAGAAUCUCCUCAUUCUAGGAUCUCCUCAUUCCGGUUCCUCUCCUCAUUCUAGAAUCUCCUCAUUCUAGAAACUCCUCAUUCCGGUUCCGCUCCUCGUUCUAGAAUCUCCUCAUUCUAGGAUCUCCUCAUUCCGGUUCCGCUCCUCAUUCUAGGAUCUCCUCAUUCCGGUUCCUCUCCUCAUUCUAGGAUCUCCUCAUUCCGGUUCCGCUCCUCAUUCUAGGAUCUCCUCAUUCUAAAAUCUCCUCAUUCUAGGAUCUCCUCGUUCUAGGAUCUCCUCAUUCUAGGAUCUCCUCAUUCUAGGAUCUCCUCAUUCUAGGAUCUCCUCAUUCUAGGAUCUUCUCGUUCUAGGAUCUCCUCAUUCUAGGAUCUCCUUGUUCUAGGACCUCCUCAUUCUAGGAUCUCCUCAUUCUAGGACCUCCUCAUUCUAGGACCUCCUCAUUCUAGGAUCUCCUCAUCUCUUCUCUCAACACGUAUGGACCCAGAAGUUCAUUGAGCAGCUGAACAAUUACGCAAGACUUUAGGUCUGGGUUAGCUGAGAUUCCAAGAACACAGGAUGAGAUGUUACUAUCCUUUGUGCAAGCACUUCCAAGAGUUAAUGAACAGUGAGCCUGGUGAAAUUUGGGGAGCGCAUCGUCAGUAGUGUACCUUUGGUUCCUAGGGUGUUUCGGCCUUUCACACUAUACACCCUACCCAAAGGCGGCCAGCGACAGGGUGAUCAAUCCUACGCUUGCGUCCCAUUCCCAAUUUGUCAUAGGAGUUGCCUUGUUGAUGAUAGCCAACAUCCCAUGGGACUAUGCAUGGCAGGGGCGUCCUCCUCCCUGAGUCAAGCAUUGUUGACCGCAUACCUCCUGGCCCUCUCACUUCGGGGCCCAGCUGGGGUCUUUCCUCUUCAUCCAGAGCCACUGACUGCUGCCUUCUGCCGCCUCCGAUACAGCUUUGAUUGCCGAACGCUGGCUCUGGCCCUUAAUUCCAAGGUCUCUAAGCAGUCUGGUUGUAGAUGUUGCCACAAAACCUCU
ensembl:lncRNA